CCACAUGGCCAAUUUAAUAAAAUACGGUCGUUGAUCACAAAGCUGGAGGGCUUCGCGCGCCACCGCGUGCUCAAAUGGCUGAACUACGGCCGUUGGUCCAAAAUCGUCGAGGAGGCCACGUUCAUCCGCGUGCUGAAGACUUUCUUCAUCAUCAUCCUCACCCUGUCUCUCAUCAAGUCUCCCUCGAAAAAGAUUGUUGA